rnacentral:rRNA from 1 species
GAUACAGCCAUGCCGCGUGAGUGAUGAAGGCCUUUGGGUUGUAAAGCUCUUUUUUCGGGGAAGAAAAUGACUGGACCCGUACAAGAUUGACGGGACUAUACC